ACGAACGCUGGCGGCGUGCCUAAUACAUGCAAGUCGAACGGUCUUUCUAUGGAAGCUUGCUCCACUGAGAAGAUAGUGGCGAACGGGUGAGUAACACGUGGGUAACCUGCCCAUAAGAGGGGGGAUAACAUCCGGAAACGGGUGCUAAUACCGCAUAGUUUCUUGAUCGCAUGAUUGAGAAAGGAAAGACGGCCUUUGUGCUGUCGCUUAUGGAUGGACCCGCGGCGUAUUAGUUAGUUGGUGAGGUAACGGCUCACCAAGACGAUGAUACGUAGCCGACCUGAGAGGGUGAUCGGCCACAUUGGGACUGAGACACGGCCCAAACUCCUACGGGAGGCAGCAGUAGGGAAUCUUCCGCAAUGGACGAAAGUCUGACGGAGCAACGCCGCGUGAGUGAAAGAAGGUUUUCGGAUCGUAAAACUCUGUUGUCAGAGAAGAACAAGUUGGAGAGUAACUGCUCCAGCCUUGACGGUAUCUGACCAGAAAGCCACGGCUAACUACGUGCCAGCCGCCGC
rnacentral:rRNA from 1 species